AGUAUACUUUCUUUAUACAUCUCUUUAGGUGGUUAUUUAUUUUGUUAUCAUGUUGACACAUUUUUAUUAGAUGCUUCUACUUCUUUCUUCCUUUUUUCUCCUCCUUCACCCUUUUCCUCACUUUUAUUUGAUUGUACAGUUGACAUUUUUGUUACACUUGCUACACUAGAUGUAAUUGUUUGUACAGAGGGCAAUGCAAGCAGGAUCAGAAAUCAACCAUAAUAUUAAUUCUAUAUUAGAUCACUAAGAUCAUCCAAUUAAUAGCACUGUAAUACUAGAAAAAGGUGACCAAAGGUCUACCUACUCUAUUAUUAUUAUUGACCCAGAAACAUAUAGAGAAUGCUAUUUCCAUCACCUUGGAGAAAAUAUUUACAUAUGCAUCUCCACAGACCAAAUCUUCCUGCCUAAUUUAACUGCUGAAUUAAUAGGAAGGAAAAACUUGGAGAAGACCUCUGUAUUUAAACAGGUCAAUGUGAGAAAAAAUGCUUCCAUGCCUGGAUGAGGAUGGUUUUGCACUAAUAGAGGUCAAGGCAAGACAACCCAUUUUAAAUAGUCAUUUAAAUACUCACUAUAGCCCCUUCAUGUCACAUCCCUAAAAUUGCCCCUCUGAAUAAGUGAACUCACCAGAGUGAUAUCAGAUAUGGUAAAGUUAGCUAAAAUAAGUAGAGGGCAUCAGAAAAAAAAAUAGGACUCUUGAAUGAUGCACAUCAUUACUACUGGAUGCAACUUAUAACACAGAUGUUUGUUUCAGCUGCUGAACUAUUCUUCAUUGACAGCAUUUUCUUCUUGUGAAGCUUUUACCAUGUUUGUCUAUGAAGUUUUUUGUUUUGUUUUUUGGAAGUGUGAUUUAGCUUCCACAUCUGAAAAGAAAAUGUUACGAUUUACAUAACAAGACACCAGGGACCCAUGGUGUCUCAUCCCAAGAUUUUUACUGGGAUGUUAGGGGGAGAGGGUGGAUUACAAACCACAAUAUUUCUACUUGUACAUAUUGCAGAAUUCAACACAAAAGGUGGCUUAUUUAUUUAUUUAUUUAUUUAUUACAGUACUUGUAUCCCGCCCUUCUCACCCAAUAGGGGACUCAGGGUGACUUACAAUAAAAACACACAUAUAAAAAUAAUACAGAACUUUCAAUCAAUUAAAAUUAAAUACAAUAAACAUUCAUAAAAAUAUACAUAUAAAUAUACAAUUGGUGCAUUUCGAUUCUAAAAAAACUGGGUCUGUCAUUGAGUUCUAAAGCAUAUAGUAGUAACUGAUGCUGCUAUUAUUGUUCGAAGACCUGGUCCCACAACCAGGUCUUAACUUUUCUACGGAAAGAUAGGAGGGAAGGAGCCUGCCUGAUAUCAUUUGGGAGGGCAUUCCAUAGGCGGGGAACCACUACUGAAAAGGCCCUGUCUCUCAUCCCCGCCAGCCGCACCUUUGAGGCUGGUGGGACCGCCAGCAGGGCCUCACCUGCAGAUCUUAAAUUUUGAGGUGGGUCAUAGCGUGAGACACGUUCGGACAAGUAAGCUGGGCCGGAAUUGUUUAGAGCUUUAUAGGCUAAAGCCAGCACCUUGAAUUGUGCUUGGUAGCUCAUCGGCAGCCAGUGGAGCUGACGUAACAGAGGUUUAGUACACUUCCUGUAUGCCGCUCCGGUUAUUAACCUGGCUGCCUCCCGUUGGACUAAUUGAAGUUAGAGAAAAUGCCAGCUGCUCUUAUGCUAAUUACAUUAUUUUAGCAUUCAAUUGGUAAAAAUGUAUGAUAUUUUAUUUGGACACAUCGAUGUUACUAUCACAACUCAUACUUGAACUGACAAUAUGUUUUCUUAUUCUUUGGCUUUUCAGUUACACAUUUAAUAGGUGGGUAUGUGUGAAGGGACUAUUGCUUAGCACAGAUAGCUGUUGUUUUUUUUUCUAAUUCUGCUUCAUCAUCCAUAGCUGUUUCCUGGCCUUAACCUUCUUUGCAAUGUCUCCCAUAUUUCUCAAACGGGGAGGAAUAAAAGAAUGAGCUUCAGACCUUAGCUUCAUCAUAUCUUCAUCAAAUACUGUCAUUAAAAUAAUUUGACAUAAACCUGGUUUGAUCAUAAACUGAAUGAGACCAAUUCACCUGUUGAAUGUAUUUACUUCAUUCUCACUCAGAUAAUAUCUAACUCCCCAAAGUAAAUGACAAAUUCUGCGUUUUUACAGAAAUUGCUCUUUGUUUGCUUGCAAUCUAACUUCAAAUGACAUAUAAAUUAAGUAAAAGAGAUUAUAGUAUAAUGUGGUAGACAUCAUUUACAUUUUCUCCCUCUAUAUAACACUCUGAGUUAUAUGGUGCUAAAUUUUCUUCAGAGAUGAUUUUAUGUACCAUCAAAGGCCCAAUAUUUAACUUUUGCAUGACAUUUUCUUUUUCCUGGUGCUUCUGAAGCUUGAUUCCAGUCAGUUGGAUAUCAGCUUCUAAAUAUUAGGGUUGUGUGUUUGGUUUAGAAUUUCUUUAAAUUCGGAUCUAAUUCAGAAGUUUAGCAAUUUGAAGCGAGUUUUAACCCACCUGCUUACUGUCCCCCACCCCAAUAUUAAGAAUUUGAAUCAAAAGGUAAAGGAAAAUGUGUUCUAUCACUAUAGCAAGUUUCAUCAGGAUAGCUCAAAAAUGAGGGAGAAAGAAGCCCCUCAGGUUUCCCCAUUAACAGUCAUGUUUUCCUUAAUGCACAUGCACGGCCACCAUUAAUGAGGUACUUACAAAGAUUCAGAAGUUUUGUAAAGUUUUGAAAUUUUUAACCACAAAAUUCAGAAAGGACUUUAGAAGUGAAGCAGCAGUGCUCCUACUUUUGAACAUUGUUUAGAACCAUUUUUAUUGCACAUGCUUAGUAAAUAUGUUUAUUAGAACCUUAUAAAGCCAAUUCCAUUUGGCUACUUGCAAAUGUCAUAAACACAAAUCAGAGAUCUGUACUUCACUGAGUGGAUCAGGUCUUCCCCAUGGUCAUAGUAGUUUUCAAGGCAUUUUAUUCAUGAGUGUACACUUAUCCAUGCCUGAAGGCCACAGAAGGCAUAACAUCUUUUUAGGUCAUGGUGUGCAUUGUAAGAAUUCUUCGCAUACUCUGGGGUACACACAGGCCACAGAAUACUUGGUGCAGCCUGGCAUAGAAGCUUGUAGAAAAAUAGAUGAAAGUAGAAGCCUUCUUGAAAUGUAGUAAGGUAAAGGUAAAGGUUUCCCCUGAAAUGUAGUAAGACUUCAAUAAGUAUUACCUGGACACAGUUGAAAUUCUUUGCCCCAUACUAAGUUGUUCAAGAAGAUUUCACAGGCAGUUUCCCUUCCAGGACAGCUUCCACCCAUAUAACCAAAAAAAAAUCUAUCCAGAAAAUAGGGUCAGCAAUCAUCACUCUUAUCCCCUACCAUUAUACCCCACUUUUCAUGUCAACAGUUGCAUCCAUUAUUUCAUUACUGUGGUCCUCAUGCACAGUAGUUUGCAUGCAGACUGAUAUUGUGUUUGAGGACAAUAGAAUUUGGUGCACAAAAGCUGUUUUUAUAUUUUCAUUUAGCACCAUUAUUGCCAGGAUCCCAAAUUUUUCAUUUUGAAAAAAGCUCUACCUUCAUUGAUCACCAAUGAGCUUGUCAGUGUGUCAAAACUGAAUGUGCAGCUUGCAGACAUUUAUUUACCAACAGUUUUGUCUUCUUAUAUUUAAAUUAAAACUUACACACAUACUCAUCCUUUCCAACUGUUCCAAUUUGGCAAGAAUAUUCCAGAUUAAUCCUCUGUCAUUCUACUUUUUCAGCUGUUCUUAAAAUGUCUUACUUUCUCUGUCUCCCUCCCAUUAUCUCUGAAGAGAGGUGAGGCAGGGAGGAAUCCCUUUUCAUCCCACCGCUGCCACCAAUUGAAGAGAGCCCAAUUUGUGGUACUCAACUCAGGCAGGGGGAAAUCUUUUUUUUGAAUCCCACCACUGCCUCCAAUUGAGGAGAUGUGCGCGCGUAUGAGAGGGAGGGGUGGAGGAUGUGUGAAUGUAUGACAGGGAGGGUUUAGUGGAUAAGGAAGGAUAACAGAACUGAUGGGUUUAAAUGAGUAAAGAUGGUAACUUAUAUAGAAAAGUACGGUAACUGCCACCAACGUGAGGUAACAGGCUUACAGAGAGGCAAGGAGACUUAUCUUUAUGAACAAUAACAAAAUUCAAGUUUAUUUUUGGUACAUAAGCGUAUGGUUUCAAUCAGUAAACGUUCCGGAUCUUAAGUUACAAUGUAGUCUUUCUUGAAUGGAUAUUUCUUAAAUAACUUCUCUUCAACACAGUAUACUAAACUCCCCCGGUCAGCUUAUAUUCCCAGCCUUUCCCCUGAGUGACCAUAAGCUGCCGUCCUUAGCUGAUUUCCACAGCUCCUAAUC